CGAGACUUUCUUUCUGUGGGUAAAGAAAAGGGUAACAAAAGGAUUUAAUGUACAGUGAAACAAACAUAAAUUUAAAAAAUUCAAGAACCCAAUCUAUUUGAUACAUUUGCUACUAAGAUCAUUGUAUAAUAGAAUUAACACCCUUGAAAGGCUAUGCUACAUUAAACCAAAUCACAUAUGAAGCUACAAAAGACAAAAUCUAAUUGUAAUUGAAGCUUUCUCAUGAUUAGCAGAUAAAUUAAAUUGGCAAAUACAGAAUGCAACAAGCAUCACUACAUAAAGAGCCUUCAAAUUUUCAAAUGCAUUGCUAAGAAAUCUUGUCUAACAAGACUUUACCUUUAUGUUUCUUAAUAAGAUCCAAAAAGACUUGUUAUUUUCUUGCUUUUCAAUUUACCUAAAACAUCCUAGCCUUUGAUGUGUUUUAAAGAAACCAAUUCUAUAUCUUAUGUUGCAUGAUGAAAUAAAGAACUGACGUCAAUCUUAGUUAUAUAACUGAAAAAACCUUACCAAACAAAUAUUGAAUGUGACGACCCGACAAACCUAAUCGCAAGAAACCUCAAUUGGGGAACAGUGAUCCUCGCUGUUGAUAUUACAGCUAGACAGGAUCCAGAAGGAUUUGAAAUCGAACCGUUGAACUUUGGCAGAGCGAAUUCUUCCGUAUUAGAACCUCAAACAGUGUACUGUUAAACAAAAAACAAUACCCAAAGAAAAAUUAACAAAUUCAAAGGCUUGUGCAGACGGAAUCAAAAGGAAGUAAUUUUUGUUUGUUUUAAGUCUAUCUAUUUAUUUUCGAAGAAAAAUGAUCGUCAAUGUUUC
rnacentral:lncRNA from 1 species